AUCUUGCUGGAGAUUCCUGUGUACCUGAGGCCUUCCAAGGUUGCUUCACCUCUCCUGUAAGAAAGGGAAACCCAUUUUCUGUCAAGAUUAGAGAGAAUGUGCUCUCUGAAGGUGAGGACCUGCUGCAUUUGGUGCAGCUCCCCAGGGGCUGGAAGGUGCGAACAAAUGGGUGCUGAGCUGAAGAGAUCCUCUGCAGUAAGAAGCGCUUUGAAGGAGGCAGGCAAGCAGCAUCACUGGCUUUUUUCAGAAAGAUGUGGAGAUAUUUCUGCUCAGAACACACCAGGCUGUGAAUCGAAGGGGUGCCACUUCAUGUCCAUUCAUUCCUUGUCUGAGGGGAAAAAAGAAACACUGGAAAAUACUGAGAACUCUUUGCCAGAAUAUUCUACUGGAGAUGAAAGGAUUUUUCAUGAAUGUUGCUUUGGGGCUUAAAUUUGCCUUUUCUGCUUUGAACUUCAGACAGAGCUGUUUUCAAAGAAAUCGGCACUGAAUUUUGUCCUGUGUCAUGGGCUGCAGAGCUCUCUCCCAUAUACUAUUCCUGCAAACUCGGAACUCUGCAGACCUCCAGGCCAGCUAAUAUUGGACUCUGAUCCAGAUGAGGGCUGCCUUUUUAUAAAGGUAAAGGGUGGAGCUCAAAUGAAGUGACCAUGGUGGUUGUCCUGUACAGCUGUAGCAUCAGAAUGAGAAAAGCUCCUCUCUGCACCUUCAGCAGGGAAACUUUUCUUAUCCUAAUGCUUUCUCAAAAAGCAGAGACUCUGACACACACAAGAGCAUGUUCAGGCUACUCCUGCAAAGAGGAAGGGCACACAGAGCAGGUGUCAUGGCUGCAGUGUGAAUGCACUUCCAAAGUGCAGAUGUGGCCAGAUCUAGUGACCUGCCACCAGACUGUGCUUGGUCCUUUGCAGCUCAGCCUGUAACAUGGCUUAGUUAGAACUGCACCCAAAUCUCUCUACCCUCAAAGAGCUUCUCCCAUCACCAAACUACCUCCCAAGUUACUUGGUAGCCCAAACACUCUACUCAAGGCUUCUGUAUUCAUUUCAAUCAUGCUGACAGGCCUCCAUUUUUUCCUCUAUAUUCAGAGUGCUGUUGUUGGUUAGACGAAGCUAUCUGCCUGUAUGGUGGUGCCUGGAGUCAGUCUUCACUGUGUCUUCCACCGUUCAGGCUGCCCUUUGUAAAAAGCAUGUCCAAAAGAAGAAGGAAUUUACUCCUGUAAGGACCCUUAAAGACUGGUUUGGCUCCUGCCUGGGAAUUUCAAAACAAACAAAACCUCAGAAACAGACAAGAAACACAAAGAAGAUACUGAUGUCAUAAGGUACUUCCAGAUUCUCAGCAGAAAUAGUAAUGUGGAGGGAAGGAGCCAAUACAGAUUUUCUUCAAGAGUUCAGCCUCACAACUUUUCUGAGAAUAUCAACAGUUUCCAUUCAUCUACCUUUACCUCAUUGCUUCAGGCCCUUCUCCAUCGCCCAAACGCCUCCAUAAAGUCAUUCAUGGAUAUCACACAGGCACCACGCUUUUGCAGCCCUCACAAGAAUAUUGAUACAUUAAUAAUACAAGCCCAACAAGUAAUGCUUUUUAUUUGUUGACUAUACAACUUAGCCUAUAAACGAAGGCAUACAGAAAAGGGGGUGUGUCCUUCAGUGCAGGGACUGGCUCACUCGGGGCCUGGUUUUGCACUCUUCAUUUUGACAGUAU
ensembl:lncRNA